CCCUUAGAUGUUCUGGGCCGCACGCGCGCUACACUGAUGCAUUCAACGAGCCUAUCCUUGACCGACAGGUCCGGGUAAUCUUUGAAUCUGCAUCGUGACGGGGAUAGAUUAUUGCAAUUAUUAAUCUUCAACGAGGAAUGCCUAGUAGGCGCAAGUCAUCAGCUUGCGUCGAUUACGUCCCUGCCCUUUGUACACACCGCCCGUCGCUCCUACCGAUUGGGUGUGCUGGUGAAAUGUUCGGAUCGGCCGUUUGUCGCGGUUUCCGCGUCAUGUGGCUGAGAAGCUCAUUAAACCCUCCCACCUAGAGGAAGGAGAAGUCGUAACA
rnacentral:rRNA from 1 species